AUCCUCAUUUAAAGAAUAAAUAAAUAAGAACACACAUUUGACGGAUUUUUCAGUCAGUUAGCAAUUGGGAUUUUCUCCUCCUUUUCCUUCCUCCGUCUUGAUAGAUAUAGACGAUUGACAACCAGUUGGAAACCUAAACUAUACUUUUGAACUAUUUCUGGUGAUUUUCUUGAAGCCAUGGCAUGACUCUUGUUUACUAAGCCUUUCCAUCGAGUUAAUUUCUACUCGGAAUGCCCUUUACUUUAUGCUAAUUUCAACUAAUUGUCUGUGUUGUAAAUUAAGCAGGCAGUUAGGAAGGAUAAUAAGCAACGGUUUAGCCUUUUGGAAGAAAAUGGAGAGCUUUUUAUUCGUGCGAAUCAGGGCCACUCAAUAACGACUAUAAGCUCCGAGAGCCUAUUGAAGCCCAUUCUCUCAGCUGAUGAAGUACCAGGCAGUGGAUUUGGGGAAGGUGAUUGACAGGGCUGAGAUGCAUAGUGGUCUGUAUUUGCUCAAAGAAAAUAAUCUCCUUGGUAGACAAGUUCAAUCGUCAGGUUUUGGUCCUACAUCAAAUUCAGUCAAGUGUGUUCUAAAUUAUGUGUCUGUUUCCAAUUCAGUUUCAAUUGAAA